GAUGAACGCUGGCGGCGUGCCUAAUACAUGCAAGUAGAACGCUGAAGGAGGAGCUUGCUUCUCCGGAUGAGUUGCGAACGGGUGAGUAACGCGUAGGUAACCUGCCUGGUAGCGGGGGAUAACUAUUGGAAACGAUAGCUAAUACCGCAUAACAGUAGAUAUCGCAUGAUAUCUGCUUGAAAGGUGCAAUUGCAUCACUACCAGAUGGACCUGCGUUGUAUUAGCUAGUUGGUGAGGUAACGGCUCACCAAGGCGACGAUACAUAGCCGACCUGAGAGGGUGAUCGGCCACACUGGGACUGAGACACGGCCCAGACUCCUACGGGAGGCAGCAGUAGGGAAUCUUCGGCAAUGGACGGAAGUCUGACCGAGCAACGCCGCGUGAGUGAAGAAGGUUUUCGGAUCGUAAAGCUCUGUUGUAAGAGAAGAACGAGUGUGAGAGUGGAAAGUUCACACUGUGACGGUAGCUUACCAGAAAGGGACGGCUAACUACGUG
rnacentral:rRNA from 1 species